GACGAAUGCUGGCGGCGUGCUUAACACAUGCAAGUCGAACGGUAAGGCCCUUCGGGGUACACGAGUGGCGAACGGGUGAGUAACACGUGGGUGAUCUGCCCUGCACUUCGGGAUAAGCCUGGGAAACUGGGUCUAAUACCGGAUAGGACUCCGGACUGCAUGGUCUGGGGUGGAAAGCUUUUGCGGUGUGGGAUGGGCCCGCGGCCUAUCAGCUUGUUGGUGGGGUGAUGGCCUACCAAGGCGACGACGGGUAGCCGGCCUGAGAGGGGGACCGGCCACACUGGGACUGCGAUACGGCCCAGACUCCUACGGGAGGCAGCAGGGGGGAAUAUUGCACAAUGGGCGCAAGCCUGAUGCAGCGACGCCGCGUGAGGGAUGACGGCCUUCGGGUUGUAAACCUCUUUCAGCAUCGACGAAGCGAAAGUGACGGUAGGUGCAGAAGAAGGACCGGCCAACUACGUGCCAGCAGCCGCCGUAA
rnacentral:rRNA from 1 species